CUAAUACAACGACCCUGUCCUAAACUGGAUUGAAUAACUAGAAAAUUAUAUUUCCUUACAUAAAAAAUUCAGAAGCAGGUAUAGUCAGGGGCUACAUGUUAAAGCUCCAGCUCCACUUCCCAGUGAAUAAUGAACUAUGCAUGGCAUUAUUCUCAAGCCAGAAGCAAAAUGGCUACAACAAUUUAACAACUACAACCCACUACCAACAGCACCUGUAACAAGAAAAUUAGCCAUUUCUUCUCUGGCUAUUCAAUUUUUUGUAUGAGAAAGAAUCCUUCUAGACAACUCC
rnacentral:lncRNA from 1 species